AACGAACGCUGGCGGCAUGCCUAACACAUGCAAGUCGAACGAAGGCUUCGGCCCUUAGUGGCGCACGGGUGCGUAACGCGUGGGAACCUGCCCCCUCGGUUCGGAAUAACAGUUAGAAAUGACUGCUAAUACCGGAUGAUGACCUUCGGUCCAAAGAUUUAUCGCCGAGGGAUGGGGCCCGCGUAGGAUUAGCUAGUUGGUGGGGUAAAGGCCUACCAAGGCGACGAUCCUUAGCUGGUCUGAGAGGAUGAUCAGCCACACUGGGACUGAGACACGGCCCAGACUCCUACGGGAGGCAGCAGUGGGGAAUAUUGGACAAUGGCGAAAGCCUGAUCCAGCAAUGCCGCGUGGAGUGA
rnacentral:rRNA from 1 species